rnacentral:rRNA from 1 species
GACGAACGCUGGCGGCGUGCCUAAUACAUGCAAGUAGGACGCAGUUGCGAACGGGUGAGUAACGCGUAGGUAACUGCCUAUUAGAGGGGGAUAACUAUUGGAAACGAUAGCUAAUACCGCAUACUAGUAGAUGGACCUGCGUUGUAUUAGCUAGUAGGUAGGGGAAUGGCCUACCUAGGCGACGAUACAUAGCCGAGCUGGGAGGGUGGUCGGCCACAAUGGGACUGGGGAACGGGCCAGAAUCCUACGGGGGGCAGCAGUAGGGAAUCUUCGGCAAAUGGGGGAAACCUGACCGAGCAAAGCCGCGUGAGUGAAGAAGGGUUUCGGAUCGUAAAGGUCUGUUGUUAAGGAAGCGGUACUUAACCAGAAAGGGACGGCUAACUACGUGCCAGCAGCCGCGGUAAUUC